rnacentral:lncRNA from 1 species
CAAAAUGGUCUUCGCAACUCGCCUCUAUAUUUUCUGCCCUGCUCCUAAGCCAGCCUGUUGGCCGACUGGCCCUUCUCCACAGAUGUCAUCUUGAGCCUCUUACAGAGUUUCAGCACUGACAUUAAUGACAAGAUGGAUCACCUACAGGACAACCUUGGAUCCUCAACCAGCCUGAUUAAGCAUUGACACUGCAUUUGUCACCACCAGCUCUGAUGGUUUGGACAUGUAGAAAUGUAUUGCAGGAGAAUAUGCAAACAGCUGCUGUAAGGUGAGCUGAUCGGGACAACUGCCAGCAGGCAGAAGGGAAGGCAUAAUUAAUGGGCACCCUUCAGCAGAGCUCAGAGCAGACCAAACGCCAAUGCAGAAGGCUCAAGAAAGAGGCAAACAGACUAGCCACUGCUCCAGGAUGACUGUGGCUCUUUAUGAGUGAAGAGAAAGGGUGGAGACUGAAGACAGAACUGGGGACAGUGACAGGCUUGGGGAAGAACAGCUGAUUCAGCAGUCCCAAGCAUCUGAACACAAGGUGGACAUUCUCCAGGGUGACAUCGCAAAAUACAUGGGUGAAGACAACCUAGUGGCCGUGACUUGGAGCACCCUUCCUCACAAUGAAGGCAUUCUGGGCCAGCCUGAAAAACAGCAUGGAAAUAAAUCACCUAAGUACAAGGGACCUCGGUGACAACGCUGUGAACAUCUAUGGAUUCCGCAUUCAAGUACUUUGUCACAACUGUCUCCACAAGUUGGUACAUCUUCUGUACAAGUUUGAUGGGUCCACGUGCCAGCA